CCUACGGGUGGCUGCAGUCGAGAAUCUUCGGCAAUGGGCGCAAGCCUGACCGAGCGACGCCGCGUGUGUGAUGAAGGCCUUCGGGUUGUAAAGCACUGUCGAGGGGGAUCAAGGCGCAAGCUUGAGAGAUCCCUGGAGGAAGCACGGGCUAAGUUCGUGCCAGCAGCCGCGGUAAGACGAACCGUGCGAACGUUGUUCGGAAUCACUGGGCUUAAAGGGCGCGUAGGCGGAUGAUCAAGUCGGGGGUGAAAUCCUCCCGCUCAACGGGAGAACGGCCUUCGAUACUGAUCGUCUCGAGCAAGGUAGGGGUGUGUGGAACUUCCGGUGGAGCGGUGAAAUGCGUAGAGAUCGGAAGGAACGCCGGUGGCGAAAGCGACACACUGGACCUUUUCUGACGCUGAGGCGCGAAAGCUAGGGGAGCGAACGGGAUUAGAUACCCU
rnacentral:rRNA from 1 species